UACGGAGGGGGCUAGCGUUGUUCGGAAUUACUGGGCGUAAAGCGCACGUAGGCGGCUUUGCAAGUUAGAGGUGAAAGCCCGGGGCUCAACUCCGGAAUUGCCUUUAAAACUGCAUCGCUAGAAUUGUGGAGAGGUAAGUGGAAUUCCGAGUGUAGAGGUGAAAUUCGUAGAUAUUCGGAGGAACACCAGUGGCGAAGGCGGCUCACUGGCUCGACACUGACGCUGAGGUGCGAAAGCGUGGGGAGCAAACAGG
rnacentral:rRNA from 1 species